rnacentral:tRNA from 1 species
GGAGAGGAAGGCUGUCCGGUGGCAUCCGCGGACUUCAAAUCCGUUGAGAGGCAGUGUACCUGUCUCUGGUGGGUUCGACCCCCACCCUCUCCGCCA